GACGAACGCUGGCGGCGUGCCUAAUACAUGCAAGUAGAACGCACAGUUUAUACCGUAGCUUGCUACACCAUGGACUGUGAGUUGCGAACGGGUGAGUAACGCGUAGGUAACCUGCCUGGUAGCGGGGGAUAACUAUUGGAAACGAUAGCUAAUACCGCAUAAUAUUGAUUAUUGCAUGAUAAUUGAUUGAAAGAUGCUAUUGAAUCACUACCAGAUGGACCUGCGUUGUAUUAGCUAGUAGGUGAGGUAACGGCUCACCUAGGCGACGAUACAUAGCCGACCUGAGAGGGUGAUCGGCCACACUGAGACUGUGACACGGCCCAGACGCCUACGGGAGGCAGCAGUAGGGAAUCGUCGGCAAGGGACGAAAGUCUGACCGAGCAACGCCGCGUGAGUGAAGAAGGUUUUCGGAUCGUAAAGCUCUGUUGUAAGAUAAGAACGGGUGUGAGAGUGGAAAGUUCACACUGUGACGGUAUCUUACCAGAAAGGGACGGCUAACUACGUG
rnacentral:rRNA from 1 species